rnacentral:piRNA from 1 species
UAAAGCGAUAAUACAACAUUA